UAAGUUUCGCUGCUUGCUUCAUUUUUGUAUGUUUUCUCUGCUUUCUCGCGAUGUGCUGGUCGUGUUGACGUGACUAUGUGUGGUUUGUUUUGUUUGGGUCGGCGGUAGCUGUGGUACUCUUUGUCUUUGGAUGCUCUUCAUCCGCUCCAUCUUAGGAAAAGGUGGUAUGAUUGUAUCAAGUGUGUUGUUCUAGGUGAUGAAUCUGUGUUAGAUUGUUGUGGGUCAGUUUGUCGUUCACAGUGUCUUCAAAAUAUGUCUUUUUUUUGGUAUGAAUUGUGUGCGCAGUUAACUGAUCUGUACUAUGAGUGUCCGAUCUGUGAUUUAAAUCACGCAUGUAACUGAUAUGUACUAUGAGUGUCAUUCUGUAUGCUUAUGAGUAUCAUUCCAUAUACUUGUACACUUCUUGCCCCCCUUGGGUGAGACAGCAAAAGAGAUCUAUACUGUGAGCAUCAUCCUAUAUACUUACGAGUAGCAUUCCAUAUACUUGUACACUUCAUGCCCC
rnacentral:lncRNA from 1 species